ACCCUUUUAGCUCAGUGGCCGAGCGUUGGCGUCGGAACCCACAGGUAGGCUGUUCGAUUCCACCCGGGCGCA